rnacentral:tRNA from 1 species
GGCUCCGUGGCUUAGCUGGUUAAAGCGCCUGUCUAGUAAACAGGAGAUCCUGGGUCA